rnacentral:lncRNA from 1 species
AUCGUCCACCAAACCCCAAUUUAUUUUUCUUCUUCUCUCUAUUUUUACUUUCCAUUCCAUUCAAAGUCAAAAAACCCUAAAAUAAAACCUUCUUCCUUCUUCUUCUUCUUAAUUAUUAGUUCAUUCAAACAUUCAAAUCAAAACCCUUACCUCCAAACUGAGUUGCUGUUCCUUCUGACCGAGGCAGUUUAUUCUCUUCCAUUGUAAGCUCGAAUUUUUUUACAUAUUCGAAGUUUGUCUUGAAAUAUUUUUGAAUUAUUAAAUGAUUUUUAGCUCUAUUUGCAUCUGUUUCACCCUAUUAAAUAAUUAAAAUAAUUAUUUUAUUUGAGACUUUGAGAAUUGAAUGCAGCUGCUGGAAAUUGGAAUCUCUAAAGCUAUUUUUGGCUUUAAAAUAAUUAAAAAUGAAACUUUUAAUUGUUGUUUGUCUUUUUCUUAUUUGGAAGAUAUAAAUUUUAUUAUUAUUAUUAAUAACUAAGCAGGGCCAGGAAGCACAACUUAAUAUAAUAUUGUAAUAAUGUAAUAUUAAUUAAUAGAGAAAAAUGCCAAUUAAUUUCCCAAAGUAAUAAUGUAAUAUUAGUAAUAAUAUAAUAUUAUUAAUACCGUAAUAUUAAUAGAAAAAAAAUUGAUAAAACAUACUUCUUUUUAAAGGAUUUUGCAGUUUACUAAUACAAUUUGAUAAAAUAACAUUAAAUGAUGAAUUAAAAUAUUGGAUUAUCAUAUUUAAAUUAUAAAUAAAAAUUAAAAUAUUAAAUACCUGACCUUAUAAAUAAAAUAACACUCAACCAGACUUUUAUUAAUUAAUUUAUGCUGUUGUAUAUUAAUUUAGG